rnacentral:rRNA from 1 species
CGAAAGCCUGACGGAGCAAUACCGCGUGCGGGAGGAAGGCCCUUGGGUCGUAAACCGCUUUUCUUAGGGAAGAAACCUGACGGUACCUAAGGAAUAAGCCUCGGCUAACUCCGUGCCAGCAGCCGCGGUAAUACGGAGGAGGCAAGCGUUAUCCGGAAUUAUUGGGCGUAAAGCGUUCGUAGGUGGCUGUUCAAGUCUGCCGUUAAAGACCGGGGCUUAACUCCGGAAAAACUGUGGAAACUGAACAGCUAGAGUAUGGUAGGGGUAAGGGGAAUUCCCGGUGUAGCGGUGAAAUGCGUAGAUAUCGGGAAGAACACCGGUGGCGAAGGCGCCUUACUGGGCCAUAACUGACACUGAGGGACGAAAGCUAGGGGAGCG